rnacentral:tRNA from 1 species
GCUCCCAUGGCGUAGUGGUCACUGCGCUCGCCUUGCACGCGGGAGACCCGGGUUCAAUGCCCGGCGGGUCCA